ACCGCAGACCGCAAGCUCUAUCCUCUAUGUACGGGUUCGGCGACUGGUCCUUAGAGGCACGCUAGGUUUUCCAACGGAUCGAAUCUUGGAGAGGGAGGGGAAUUCGAAUUGAUGGAGGACCUCGUUCGAAGCCCCGCGCCUGAGCUUCAAACCCUAAACCCUCGGAUGGAAGGCUUCUCGCGAUCUGCUUCUCGCACGCCCCGGCGAUCCCAUCUCGACAGCGCCUCCUAUCGCACUCUGGUUCGGAUCUUCUCCCUCUGCCUCGACGAAUCCCUCGGUCGUCCUCAGGAGUCUCGUAAAGAUCCAAACCCUAGAUCGGAUGACGUGCCAGAGAGCUCGUGCACCGGUAAAGAUUCGAUCUUUGGUCGAAGCGGUGAUGGAAACGUGGCGGAGGAAAUCGGUCGUGGUAGGAAGGGAGAAGGGCACAGUGGGUUUGAAGGCAGUGAGCGCGGUGAAUUCGGAGGCAGCGAGAGGAGUCAAGGUUCGGCAUGUGGAAACCCUAGGUUUGAUGAUUCUUCUUUGAAUGGAAAUAUUAGUUCGAGGGAGGAACUAGGGCAUGAGAAUGGCACAAGCGUGGAGUUGCCCGAAGCACUUGUCUUUGAAAAGCUGCAAUCUGGUGGCAUUAAAGAUGAAGCUUCGCAUAGGAUGGAAGAAUUGGGGCAUGGAAGUGGGCGUGAGGAGUGUGAUCAAAGCGCCAAUGGUGGAACUCAGAAAGCUCUGCUUUUUACAGAUCUAGAGCAUUUACUGCAUGAGAAUAUAAAUUCUGUGGAACAACCGGGGAAUGGGGAAUUGCUGAAUGACAUAAUCUUUGAUUUUUCUGGAUUAAUUGAUAACCCGAAUGACCUAGUUUGUUCAGCAGGGUCACAGGAUGGACAAAGACAAUUGGGACAUGGUGAACUCGCCAACAAUGAGUUGCGGAAAGAUGUACCUCUUCGAAAUACCAAAUUAGCUGAUUCCAAGAAUCAAAAUUCAUGUUCAGGACAAGGAAAGAAUCACGAACCUCAGGAUGAAAGCAGUAAAAUAAUUUUCUCUGGAGAUAAAAUGAUUUAUUCUUCUGAGGAACUACUUCAUGGUAAAAUGAGAGAAGGGCAUGGUGAAUGCGUAAAUGAUGUAUUAACUAAGCACAUGUUUCCUGAUAAGCAUAUGAUGGAUGGAGUUCGGCAUAAAGAAAUUAAAUCAGUGAAAGAAUUAGGAGAAGUGUUGCAUGAAGAAACACACUGUUGUUCUGAUUCUUUGAUGGAAGGUUCUGAGUCAAGAGAACUGGCAAUUCCAGUAUUAGCUUCAGAAGAUAGUGGAGACAUUGAGGAAGGUGAAAUUCCUGGGGAAUUAAAUAUUUCCAACCAGGAUUUGGAUAUGGUACAUGAACAUGCAGUCCUUGAAGAUCGGAAUAUAGAGGAAGGGACAACAUAUUGUGGCUCUCCUAAGAAAGGAGAUACUAACAUGACUUGUCUUGAUGAGGGUAUGCAUUCAAGAGAAAGUAACUACAAGGAUGAUGAAUCUGCUGUGCCCAUACAUAUUACAAAGGGUGACAUAAUGCAUGUUUCUGGGGAUGAUAGGUAUUCAGAAACUCAGAUGAAGAAAAGUUACAGUUCUGGGAUGAGAGUGGAUGUUAAGCGCCCAGCUGUUGAUUCAGAGGCUCUUGGAUUGCCUGGCGAGAACUUAGGAAACAUAAUAAGUCAGAACAAAGAAAAACCAUCCAACCAUGAGGCUGUUGAAGCUAGGCUGAAAAGAAAACGAGGUGCUUUAACCGAGGAAAGAAAAGCUAAACGAAAGAAGGCUAAGAAAAGGAAAAGAGCACAGAAGGAGCGAGAACAAGGAGUCAAGAGAUUGAAACUGCAGCCAAUUUCAAAGCCAAAAACAGUGAAAUAUUGCAACUUCUAUCUGAUGGGUAGAUGUCAGCAGGGAGACCUGUGCAAGUUUUCUCACGACACUACUCCCUUGACAAAGUCCCAGCCAUGCACGUAUUUUGCACGUGAUUCUUGUUUGAAAGGGGAUGAUUGUCCAUUUGAUCAUCAGCUUUCUAAGUACCCAUGUCACAACUUCUCAUCCAAAGGCAUGUGCAGCAGAGGAGAUAAAUGCAAGUUUUCACAUAAGAUUACAACCAACGAGGCUUCCUCCUCAAUUCCAAUCAUAAGCAAAUCCAAGUCUCCAUUGACAUCAGAAAAUUUAAAUUUCAGAAAGCAAAAUACCACAAACAGCACCUCCAUAGUUGCCUGUGGUCCACCUAAAACUACAACUUCAUGCACACCAUUUCCCAUUCAAAAGAACAUGGAGGGAGACACUAUAAAGCCUCCAAAGAUUCCCAUGCGGAUACCUAAUGGAAUACGCUUUCUUUCAUUUGGAAAAGGUCCUUCAGACAGCAUUAACAGGCAGCACCACGAUAAUCUUCUCCUCAAGGAACGCAAAAUAUUGGAUCAGCAGAAUCAGGAGAAAUUUUUGAUGGAUGGGCAUAAGAAUGAUACCGAUGAUAUCAGUUUGGCUCAGACAUCACUUCUUAAAGUACAUAGUGAGUCUAAUGUGAUGUCUGGUGGAGCUGCUUAUUCUGCUAUAAAUACCCUUGACAAUAAGAAUUUGAAGAAUAAGAGUAUCAGCAGUGUGUCUUCUGUAGUUCCUGGUUCCAGGAGCCUCCAUAGUGAAGUGUCAGAUGCUUCUAAAAUUUUGGAGGAGUUCUUAUUCAGUGGUGUCAGCUAGAAGCAAGGAGUAGCGUCUGUUGUUUGCCCAAGUCUCUCCUUCAGCUGUCACUGAUAUUGAUGUACAAUGGCCAAGGUCCCAUUUGUUGGAGAAGAUUGCUGUGUCAGUACUCCGUAAUACACACCCUGCUGCAUUAUCAUAUAGUUACGAGUUACAGCAGUGGCUUAUUUGGUGUUGCAGACUUUGUGAGGUCUUGACGUUAACAGUUGAGUUGCUGUACUAUUCUAACAGGUCAGUCUCUGCUUUCAUCAGUAGCUAAAGAGGUUGGAACUCCAUGCUGCAACAGCUGAUCCAUUGAUUGAACCUGGAACCCAAGCAUUUUUACAAUUACAUCCUUUUGGGGCAUCAAGUUCUAGUGUGAUACAUUAAUUAUGGAAAAAGCACUGCAAUAAUAUAUUGUUGUAAUUCAACGAGGAACUGCUUUAACAUGCCACAAUAGCAGGUGCAUCUAAUCUGAGGGCAAAAGUGAAGCAAUAUCACUGUGUCAGUGAACUCUUGAAGACUGACCUUGCUGAUGCAGCAAGCCUGUCGAUUCAAUAGCAGGAUCCCCUGCCCAAGCCAGAUGAUCAGUUUGUUUGAUCCUAGAUGGGUAUCCUUGUCAAUGCUCCAAGCAAAUGGAAAAAUGGCAAACAAGCUGGUAAAGCAUAAUUAGGUUGAAAGAGGGGUUGUCCAUUCUUUUUUUUCUUAAAAAAGGUUAUUUCUAUAUGUAGUUACACAGAUAACAAGAGAUACAAUUUUGGACUUCACCAAAGAUUGGAUGUUGUGGCAUUUAAAAUCAAUUUUAAGUGGAGUAUGAGGGAGAUGUUGUGGAUCAAAUUUUCGAAUGGGUUACAUGAGCUGAUGAUUACAACUCCGGGGCUUCCUUGUGGUGCAUUUGUGCAUAAAUGGAGAUCUAGAAACUCUCAAGUGGUAUUACAAAAGAAGAGCCUUGCAAAGCAAAUAAACUUGUGGCAAAUCUGGUGAAACAGAUUGAGGAUUUUCAAGGAAAAUAGAAAGGCUAUGCCCGUGGCUGGAAUUUCGAUGAAAGGAACUUAAUGAAGAUUUAAGCAACUUGACGAGUAAAAAGUGAAGGCAAUUGGAAAUAGCUCCCUGAAGUUGGGAGCAGAUAAAGACUGGUGAAAAGGCCUCAGGAUUGUUGAAGAACAAAAGGAGGCGGCUGUUCUUAAUUAGAAAUGCAGCUGGAUGAGAACUGAAAGCUGGAAACAUAGAUACAGCAGUUGAAAUGUAAGUUACAGGUGUUAUGCAUGCAAUAAGAUGAUUCAGGAUUCAAUGAAGGAUGGGAGAAUUGUGCAAAGAGUUGCAGAAAAAUGAAGAAUGGAGAGUUUGGGAGUUCUUUAUCUAAUUCUCACAGUUGCAGAGAACAUGAGCAAUGGGUGAACAACAGGAAAAAAAUACAAAGCUCGGACUUGAACCCAAGCCAUUUCAGGAAGAUUGAAAGCAAAAAUUGGCUAGAGGUCAUGUUAAUCUUAAACCUCAGUUUUGUUUUUGAUAGCAGGAUCAUUCAAGAAAACCCAGUAGUAUCUCAUGGAAUCAUUCUGUCGAGGAAGGGUCCUAAGAAGUUACGUAUAAAACUGCCGGGCAACUGCUAUUCUCGAAGGAGCAGCUCGUUGAUGAACAUUUCAUCAUUGUUGCUCCUUCCCCCAUGAUCUUAGUCCCCAAGUUCAAAAUGUUUCAUUCCAUGACAUCUGGAUUUAUAAGGACAGUUGAAAAGUGGCAGUGAAAGAGAUUAUAUGUACUGGAAGAGUGGAAGAUUCAUAUUCCUGAUUCAUUAUUCACUGCUUCGUUUGAAGAUAAACCAGGUAGCUUUGUAAUCACCUCUGAUUCCAAAAACCGCUAUCAAACUCUUUUAACAACAAGAAGAACAACCAUAGGUCACACUAGAAGAGAUCAGAUAUUCUUAACUCCUUGAAAUGAUAUACUGAAGUGAUGCAAGGAUUCAACCUUACAGGCUUGGGGGAAAAAGGAAAAAAACAGUUAAAAGUUGCUCUGUAAGCUUCCUGAAAUUUUUAUGCCCACUUAUCCGGGGCUAGGCUAAGCACAGCUUGGUAGCAUCCCUGUUGGUUGGUCUUCCCUUAGUCUAAAAAAUUCUUUCCUCACUUUAGUUAUCACAACUUAA